GCCCAAGUGGCGUAACGGUAGCCGCGGUGGACUCAAAAUCCACUGAUAGUGAUAUCGUGUCGGUUCGAAUCCGACCUUGGGUACCA
rnacentral:tRNA from 1 species